rnacentral:rRNA from 1 species
GGUCGCCGCGGUCCAGGUGCCGCGGUAAAGAGGGGGGGGCGGGCGUUGUCCGGAAUCACGGGGGGGGAAGGGCGCUUCGGCGGGUCGGUAAGUUGCUGGUGAAAGCCCGGGGCUCAACUCCGGGGCUGCCGGCACGACUGCCGGACUUGAGAGCGGUAGGGGCAGGUUGAAUUCCCGGUGGAGCGGUGGAAUGCGUAGAGAUCGGGAAGAAUACCAGUGGCGAAGGCGUUCUGCUGGGCCGUUGCUGACGCUGGGGCGCGACAGCGUGGGGAGCAAACAGGAUUAGAUACCCCAGUAGUC